AGGUGGCUUCGAGUUCGAGAGUUGAGCAAGUUCAAGGCUCGGAAGAAAAGGGCACGGACCAGAGAGUCGCAGAAGAAGACGAACAGAGUCGAGAAGAGACCGUUGGAGUUACCAGCGGGUUUUAGGUUUCACCCGACGGACGACGAGUUGGUGAACCAUUACCUGAUUCGCAAGUGCGCUUCGCAAUCCAUCUCCGUCCCCAUCAUUGCCGAGAUCGAUCUCUACAAGUUCGACCCUUGGGACCUUCCUGUAAUUGCAGGACAUGCUUGGGAAUUAGAGUAUAAAAGCAAAUGCUCCCGGGGACAAUCUAUUUGUGGCUAUUUCAGUUCAGCAUCCCAAGCUUGAUGCCCCAUAAGGUGGCAUUAUGGAUAUACUAGCAUGAGGGGCAUAUCGAAGUUCUAUGAUGGCAAGUCGAAAUCUUUCACAAGCUUAGCAGAUGCUUCUGCUUCUUCAUCUGUUAAAGAGAUCGUGAAACCGGAAAAUGCUUACAGCAGAAGGCGCAGAAAUAUCUUCGCAUCCAGUCACGUGUCGGACAGAAGCCGCAAUUUUUCCCUGAGAAGCAACAUGGUGGGGAUAUCUAAGAGAAGACCGCUCACCUCGAGCAACAGCGCAUUGGUCUUGAAGGUUGCUGCUAUGUGCAAC